AAUCAACGCUGGCGGCGUGCCUCAGACAUGCAAGUCGAACGAUUAAACUUUCCUUCGGGAAAGAUAUAAAGUGGCGCACGGGUGAGUAACACGUAGGUAAUCUACCUUUGAGUGGGGAAUAACGUUCGGAAACGAACGCUAAUACCGCAUAAUGCAGCGGCACCGCAAGGUGACAGUUGUUAAAGGAGCAAUUCGCUUAAAGAGGAGCCUGCGGCAGAUUAGCUAGUUGGUAAGGUAAGGCUUACCAAGGCUACGAUCUGUAACCGACCUGAGAGGGUGGUCGGUCACACUGACACUGAAUAACGGGUCAGACUCCUACGGGAGGCAGCAGUCGGGAAUUUUGGGCAAUGGGCGAAAGCCUGACCCAGCAACGCCGCGUGAAGGAUGAAGUCUUUCGGGAUGUAAACCUCACAAGCAAGGGAAGAGAGCUAUGGGCUGAAUAAUCCCGUAGUGCGACGGUACCUUGCGUAAGCCACGGCUAACUACGU
rnacentral:rRNA from 1 species